rnacentral:rRNA from 1 species
UGCGUAGGCGGUUUGAUAAGUCUGAUGUGAAAUCCCGCAGCUUAACUGCGGAACUGCAUUGGAAACUAUCUGACUAGAGGAAUGGAGGGGAGGACUGGAAUACUUGGUGUAGCAGUGAAAUGCGUAGAUAUCAAGUGGAACACCAGUGGCGAAGGCGAGUCUCUGGACAUUUCCUGACGCUGAGGCACGAAAGCCAGGGGAGCGAACG